AGUGAACGCUGGCGGUAGGCCUAACACAUGCAAGUCGAACGGCAGCACAGUAAGAGCUUGCUCUUACGGGUGGCGAGUGGCGGACGGGUGAGGAAUACAUCGGAAUCUACUUUUUCGUGGGGGAUAACGUAGGGAAACUUACGCUAAUACCGCAUACGACCUACGGGUGAGAGCAGGGGAUCUUCGGACCUUGCGCGAUUGAAUGAGCCGAUGUCGGAUUAGCUAGUUGGCGGGGUAAAGGCCCACCAAGGCGACGAUCCGUAGCUGGUCUGAGAGGAUGAACCGCCCAACUGGAAAUGGGGAACGGUCCCGACUCCUACGGGAGGCAGCAGUGGGGAAUAUUGGACAAUGGGGGCAAGCCUUAUCCAGCCAUACCGCGUGGGGGAAGAAGGCCUUCCGGUUGUAAAGCCCCUUUGUUGGGAAAGAAAAGCAGCCGGUUAAUAACCCGGUGUUUUGACGGUACCCAAAGAAUAAGCCACGGCUAACUUCGUG
rnacentral:rRNA from 1 species